rnacentral:rRNA from 1 species
UACGUAGGUGACAAGCGUUGUCCGGAUUUACUGGGCGUAAAGAGCGCGCAGGCGGUCGUUCAAGUCGAGUGUGAAAGCCCCGGCUCAACUGGGGAGGGUCAUUCGAUACUGAUCGACUCGAAGGCAGGAGAGGGUAGUGGAAUUCCCGGUGUAGUGGUGAAAUGCGUAGAUAUCGGGAGGAACACCAGUGGCGAAGGCGACUACCUGGCCUGUUCUUGACGCUGAGGCGCGAAAGCUAGGGGAGCAAACGGGG